AUGGGAGUCAGGACUUCGAGAUAAGAAUGUCACGUCAUAUGCCACUCCCUUUCCAUCCCCAGAUCAGAUGAUAUAAAUAAGAUGUGAAUUUCACUUCUGCUCACAGACUGACUGGUGUGACAUUCAAGACUAAUCAUGACUAAGAACUUCUUGUCUAAAAAUGAGCAGCUCUUUAUGGGCCAAUAUCUGAUGUCCAACAACGGGAAGUAUAAGGCUAUCUUCCAGGUGAGUAACUCUUUCUUAAAUGAAAUGCUCACUCUAUAUUUUGAUAUAUUGUUUGGAUAUCAGUCAAAUGCCUCUGUUUCUGCCUGCAGGAUGAUGGUAACUUUGUCGUCUAUGACUGUACCUGUAGCCCACACAAGGUUAUGUGGGCCACAGGCACUUGUGGAUCAGACGCUGUCCGUGUGAUCAUGCAGGCUGACGGCAACUUGGUCAUGUACAACAACAGUAUCCGAGCCUUGUGGAGCACAGGGACAGACACCAAGGAGGAGUGUGAGAAGUGCCGUCUUGUAAUGACUGAUAGCGGCAAACUGGAGUUGAUCCAAACUGUACCUACAAAAGUUUGGAACUCAUGAUGAAAUUAGACCCAAUGUCUUAACAUGACAUCACAAAGUUUUUUUAAAUGAAAUGCUUUGCAAGUGAAAGUCAUCUUUGUUUGUCAGCGUGAAUUACAAUAAACAUGCCUGGUAUGU